rnacentral:lncRNA from 1 species
UAAAUAACACUUGUUGUUUAAAUAUUGCAUUCGCUACUAUUCAAAAAUGAAUAUUUUCAAAAAAGGCAAUGUUAUGCAUUUUGAGAUAUCGAGGAAUUGUGCCCUAACUUACGGGGUUUCGAUUUUUCUCGUUAUUUUUAAAUAGCAAAAUAUCCUUUUCGAGUUUUAAAACACAUGAAAUUCUCAUUUAAAUUAGAAGACAACCUUGUGCUCGGGAAUUCAUGGUAUUGUGUCCUAACUUACGGGAUGUGAUACUCCGAUAUCUCGAGAUAAGGAAAUCUCUAAACAAAUUGUUUUGAGCUAGUUCAAAGAUUUUAAAAUCAAUAUUAACAAGAAAAGAUCGUAUUCCAAAUCCAUUCCCGAUUUUCAAUUUUCAACAUUUAGACACUAAUUAGUCAAUUUGGUACCAAUUUUUAGGCGUGUCGAGGGUGCUAAUCCUUCCUCGUACGUAACCGACUCCCGAACCUGUUCUCUUGGAUUUCGUAGACCAAAAUGCCGUUUUAGUAAACUAAAAUUGUUUUAUUAAAAUAAAGGUGACCUGAUCACACCAAAUCAAGAUCGGUGGCGACUCCCUUUUUAAAUUUCGUUUUCAAAAUCAAGUCGACUCCCGUUUUCAAAAAAAUGGUUUCGACAGCAUUAAUAUAUCACCUUAUUCUAAAAAUAGUAAAAUAUUUUUAAAUAUAUAUUUUAAUUACAUUUCCUUUUCAGUUUAUUUAAAAAAAUCAUUAAAAAUUGUAAAAAAAAACUAAUAUUAAAAAAAAAAGUUACAAGAGUAAUA